rnacentral:sRNA from 1 species
UUAAACUGUUUACCAAUUUGACAGUGAUUCACACGUUGGUUGUAUACUACGACACUAACUCACGGGUAUCGCUCCACCUUCACAAAAAGGUACUAGUGAGGUUUUCUGAUCACAUUUUAAUCAUUAUCUCUUAAUUUUUUAUUGUAACCAAUUGGCUAUUUUCAUUCAAACUUAGCUUUCAGUCUGGUUACUUGUAAAAUGGCUUUUGGGGUUUUUUACUGUGUUUUGAGAAAUGUUUUUACAUAAUUUGAGAAAAUGAUGUAAUAAAGUUUGUACAUUAUGAAUAAUGCUUUUAGACAUGAUUAAGGUCUGUAUUUUGUUUUGUUUAUACUUUGUAAAAGCAAGCAAUGUGACCCAUGCGUUUUGAUUUUGAAAUUUUUAUUACAUGUACUGUGUUGUGGUAUUCAUGUACAUAUAUGCAGGGAUCCAAAAAAAUUUCAUGAGGUGGGGGUGGAGGAUCAUAUAGAUAAUUGUGUUUUUUUCGGGGGGGGGGGGGGGGGGGGGGGGGGUAUAAACCGUAGAUUUUAGUCCAUACAUGACACAAAUCUUGUAUAGAAUCUACAUUUUAUUUGAAUAUAUGAAUGAGUUGUUAGACAGUGGUCAGACAAUAUUUUAUAUUUUAAUCUUGCAUACAAAUUAAAUUCAUCUCUUGUAGUACAGAAAUACCAGUAUUCUCGUACAUGUUGUACAUAUGUUCUUUUAUGAUUUCUCUUACACAAAUAUGGUCAUGAAUAUUUUUUUUGUUAUUGUUGUAUACCCAAGUUGUAUAACAUUUACAAGUAUAGUUAUCUGAAUAUGUUCUUAUUAUACAUGUAUUUCUUUAGAGUAAAAAAAAACUCU